UUUCACUGCAAGUUUCUAUUAAAGAUGUAUAUAACUGUAUAUAACUGCUUGUUCUUAUUUUACUGUCUGUAUUUAACUUGUUCUGUUUGCAGGUCCAGCUUCAAUCCUCUUAGUUGCCUAAGAAUAAAUCAUUUUUUAAUGCCAUCUUUUUUCCAUUCAUGGCUUGUACAGUCUUUUUUUCCAUCAGGCAUAAAGAUUACCUGCAUCAGUGAGGCUUUCAGUAUACCUGCUUAUCCCAGACUUCUUCAGAAGGUGUUUAGCAGCUCCAGACCAUGCUCAGUGACUCUACUGAGCUGUGAAAGGAAUAGCAGGGUGAAUUUACCAGGCUUAAGCGAGAUAAAUGGAAUAAAAUAUGGUACAGACAGACUUGGCUGUGUAGAAUAUAAGUAAACAGAUUGUGGUCACUGGAAGUAAAAAGAAUUAAUUUAACAUUAUUUUUGCUACAAUCCUGCAGAUAAGACUGACUAUGUCAAGGGGCUAAAAAUCUAAAUGACCACUUACAGAAUUCCCACUUGAAUAUUUUCACUCUGAAAGAUUUCAAAUAAAAACUUACUUUUCACAGAUAUUAAAGGAAAUAGAAGGUACUAAAAUGCAAGGUACUUUCAGAUUUUGUGAGUGUAGAACUGUGGAGAGAAUAUUCCCAUCUGAACAGCAGGUAAUGAGUACGAUGAUCUCUUGGAAAUAAUAUAUUUUCAAGUUAAUAUCAUGUGAUUUCCCUUUACAUUUUGUCAAUAUAAUGGCACAUGUGGGCCUGAGGUUUACCUUGACUAGCAACAUUAAAGUGAAUUUUGUCUUCUUGUUUUCACUAAUUUAUAAAAGUUUACAUUUCUUGAUAUAAAAUACAUCAUUUCUCACCAGUGAAAGACAUAGCCUGAAUCUUCAGACAGUGUGAAACAAUAGCUCUAAGGAAAAUGUAAAUUCACUUCUGUGGUGUUAUAAUUCUGACACUGAAUCCUGAAAGGUAACAUUUUAAAUGUUUUAACAAAAUUUGGUAGCAACGAAUUUCUUCAGUCUUCACUAACUGAUUUCCUGUUUACUUUUUCCAUAGCACAGUUAUCCAUGAGAGCAUUUACAGCCUGAAUUAAAGUGAAAUCCACUUGUCGGAAGGCUUCUUAUGCUGCCUGCAUUAUAGUGUGCAAUUUAUUAGAAUUAAUUGCCAUCAGUGGAGGAUCAGAGUGACAGCUAAACCUGUGUGUGUUUGACACAGAGCAACCCCACUUCUGCAAACUGAAGUCUACUGUGCUUGAAUAGGAGCCUCUGUGUAAAGCUCUUUAUCACAGUCUGAGUACACUCUAGAUGGGCUCAUUAUGAAUCAAGUUCUCUCAGAACAAAGAGGAAGUGCUCUGCUACAGUGACAUUGUACAUCAUAGAGCCUGGAUAAAGUCAAGAGCUGAUGUAACCUUGACUUUUGACAUGCCAAGAGACUGUUGUCUAGAUAAUGCAAGGUGUGUAAGCCUCUGUCUUUGAUAAGUAAUAAAACAAAUAAUAAAUCUGA